UGGGGAAUAUUGGACAAUGGGCGCAAGCCUGAUCCAGCAAUGCCGCGUGUGUGAAGAAGGCCUGCGGGUUGUAAAGCACUUUAAGCAGGGAAGAAGGGGCGGGAGUUAAUACCUUUUGUCAUUGACGUUACCUGCAGAAUAAGCACCGGCUAACUCCGUGCCAGCAGCCGCGGUAAUACGGAGGGUGCGAGCGUUAAUCGGAAUUACUGGGCGUAAAGCGCGCGUAGGCGGUUGACUCAGUCUGCUGUGAAAGCCCCGGGCUUAACCUGGGAACUGCAGUGGAUACUGGUUGGCUAGAGUAUGGUAGAGGGUAGUGGAAUUUCCGGUGUAGCAGUGAAAUGCGUAGAGAUCGGAAGGAACACCAGUGGCGAAGGCGGCUAUCUGG
rnacentral:rRNA from 1 species